rnacentral:rRNA from 1 species
GCGCUGACGAGUGGCGGACGGGUGCGUAACGCGUAGGAAUCUGCCUAUUAGUGGGGGACAACAUGGUGAAAACCAUGCUAAUACCGCAUACGCCCUACGGGGGAAAGCAGGGGAUCUUCGGACCUUGCGCUAUUGGAUGAGCCCGCGUUAGAUUAGCUAGUUGGUGGGGUAAGGGCCUACCAAGGCAACGAUCUAUAGCUGGUCUGAGAGGACGAUCAGCCACACUGGGACUGAGACACGGCCCAGACUCC